rnacentral:rRNA from 1 species
AGGGAAACCGAGUCUUAACCGGGCGUUAAGUUGCAGGGUAUAGACCCGAAACCCGGUGAUCUAGCCAUGGGCAGGUUGAAGGUUGGGUAACACUAACUGGAGGACCGAACCGACUAAUGUUGAAAAAUUAGCGGAUGACCUGUGGCUGGGGGUGAAAGGCCAAUCAAACCGGGAGAUAGCUGGUUCUCCCCGAAAGCUAUUUAGGUAGCGCCUCGUGAACUCAUCUUCGGGGGUAGAGCACUGUUUCGGCUAGGGGGUCAUCCCGACUUACCAACCCGAUGCAAACUGCGAAUACCGAAGAAUGUUAUCACGGGAGACACACGGCGGGUGCUAACGUCCGUCGUGAAGAGGGAAACAACCCAGACCGCCAGCUAAGGUCCCAAAGUCACAGUUAAGUGGGAAACGAUGUGGGAAGGCUCAGACAGCCAGGAUGUUGGCUUAGAAGCAGCCAUCAUUUAAAGAAAGCGUAAUAGCUCACUGGUCGAGUCGGCCUGCGCGGAAGAUGUAACGGGGCUAAACUGUGCACCGAAGCUGCGGCAGCGACGCUUAUGCGUUGUUGGGUAGGGGAGCGUUCUGUAAGCCUGCGAAGGUGUCCUGUGAGGGAUGCUGGAGGUAUCAGAAGUGCGAAUGCUGACAUAAGUAACGAUAA